rnacentral:rRNA from 1 species
UACGUAGGGUGCAAGCGUUGUCCGGAAUUAUUGGGCGUAAAGAGCUCGUAGGCGGUUUGUCGCGUCGGCUGUGAAAACCCGAGGCUCAACCUCGGGCCUGCAGUCGAUACGGGCAAACUAGAGUGCGGUAGGGGAGACUGGAAUUCCUGGUGUAGCGGUGAAAUGCGCAGAUAUCAGGAGGAGCACCGGCGGCGAAGGCGGGUCUCUGGGCCGUAACUGACGCUGAGGAGCGAAAGCGUGGGGAGCGAACAGG